UACGUAGGGUGCGAGCGUUAAUCGGAAUUACUGGGCGUAAAGCGUGCGCAGGCGGUUCGCCAAGUCAGGUGUGAAAUCCCCGGGCUCAACCUGGGAAUUGCGCUUGAAACUAGCGAGCUUGAGUGUGGCAGAGGGGGGUGGAAUUCCAGGUGUAGCAGUGAAAUGCGUAGAGAUCUGGAGGAACACCGAUGGCGAAGGCAGCCCCCUGGGCUAACACUGACGCUCAUGCACGAAAGCGUGGGGAGCAAACAGG
rnacentral:rRNA from 1 species